UACAGAGGUCUCAAGCGUUGUUCGGAAUUACUGGGCGUAAAGCGUAUGUAGGCGGAUCGUUAAGUCGGGGGUGAAAUCCCGAGGCUCAACCUCGGAACUGCCUUCGAUACUGGCGAUCUCGAGUCCGGGAGAGGUGAGUGGAACUGCGAGUGUAGAGGUGAAAUUCGUAGAUAUUCGCAAGAACACCAGUGGCGAAGGCGGCUCACUGGCCCGGUACUGACGCUGAGGUGCGAAAGCGUGGGGAGCAAACAGG
rnacentral:rRNA from 1 species